ACCAUAGUCUUCAAAAUCAAGAGCAUCAUUACCGUUUGGAGGAAUAAGCGCGCCGUUAAAUACAUCUUCCAAUUGGUCUUCUAGACCCAUAUUUGUGGCAAUUCCGUAAAUUAAGCGCAAUAGUACAAGUCCAAUAAAAUUCGGGGUGCUUACAUCGUUUUUUUGGCUUCUCAGCAGCUGCCUUGAAUCUUCUAAUAUCAUGUUUUUUUUAACAAUUGGCGUCAUAUUUAUAUCCUUGCCGUUUAUUAUAUUUUGACUUGAAGUUGAACUACAACAAGUUACAAUUGCGACAACGGCAGUAAUCCAGAAAAUGAUGAGCAUCAUAUUAGUUUAAAUGUAAAAGUUGCUAUGUAGACUGAAACUUAAAGUCAAAUGUUCCCAUCUUAAUUUUGUGGGACGAGCUAUAUGCAUACGAUCAUAUACAUAUACAUAUACAUAUAUUUAUGUACAUAUAUCAUAUAAAGAAACCGGUUAAGAAAGGCAUGAUGAACUUCUUUCCUUUCCGUGAAAUUGCUGUGACACACUUUUUUGAUAAUCUAAUGAGAGCGGAACAUAUAAACGAACACUCUAAGCAGCUUGAGAUAUGACGAGCACAGCAGCGGUCAGUCCGACCGCAGUUUUCCUUGCUUCCUGACGCUCGCUGUUACUUCCAGUCUACUGGCUGGCUCGGCCCUAUUAGCCUUCUAGACCCAAUGCAAAAGAAUUGGCCAUCGCAAUGGCUACUGAUAAUGAUUUCACCAUUACGCCUAAUGCUCGUACAGUAGUGUAUUAUAGAGUGAGACCCGUUUUGCCACAGCAUAAUAGUAGCCGUGGAACUACCUACUUCUACCACUUAUCUCCGCACACUCUGGGUAAAUUGAACAUCUAAUUGUAUUAGGUGACUCUAAUCCUCCAUCACUAUCCUGGUGAUCAAUAUGUUUGUUUCACUAGAUUGCCACCUAUUACAAAAGCUAGGAAAAUGUAGCCGUGCUCCC